UCCUUCUUUGUUUCUCCACAAAACUGGUUAGUGAAAAUAAUGGUGCUUCUUUUCAUUUUUAGGGAACCAUCUGUGGUGAUUGACAAUACAACCUUUCUCUUCAUACAUGAUGGGAAUAUACUAUAAAUGUCUUUGUCAUUGAUUCCUUCACAAAAACCUUGAUUUUAAUUCUCCAACAACCUCUUUUGUGCUAAUAACUAUCUUGUGGUUCCCAAAUGAUGAAAGACAGAUGUUUUUAAGGUGUCGGCCUCUCCUUUCAUUUUUUCAAAGGCUCUGUUUUCUUCUUU
rnacentral:lncRNA from 1 species